GGCAGAAUAGCUCAGUUGGAUAGCUUCGGCUCAGAGCAUCUCACAUGAUUAGAGAAGGUCCCGGGUUCAAUCCCCGGUUCAGCCA